GAUGAAGAACGUAGCGAAAUGCGAUAGGUAAUGUGAAUUGCAGAAUUCAGUGAAUCAUCGAAUCUUUGAACGCACAUUGCGCCCGCCAGUAUUCUGGCGGGCAUGCCUGUCCGAGCGUCAUUUCAACCCUCGAACCCCUCCGGGGGGUCGGCGUUGGGGAUCGGCCCUGCCUCUUGGCGGUGGCCGUCUCCGAAAUACAGUGGCGGUCUCGCCGCAGCCUCUCCUGCGCAGUAGUUUGCACACUCGCAUCGGGAGCGCGGCGCGUCCACAGCCGUUAAACACCCAACUUCUGAAAUGUUGACCUCGGAUCAGGUAGGAAUACCCGCUGAACUUAAGCAUAUCAAAGCGGAGGA
rnacentral:misc_RNA from 1 species